rnacentral:rRNA from 1 species
GUGGGGAAUAUUGGGCAAUGGGCGCAAGCCUGACCCAGCAACGCCGCGUGAAGGAAGAAGGCUUUCGGGUUGUAAACUUCUUUUGUCAGGGAAGAUGAAGAGACGGUACCUGACGAAUAAGCCACGGCUAACUACGUGCCAGCAGCCGCGGUAAUACGUAGGUGGCAAGCGUUGUCCGGAUUUACUGGGUGUAAAGGGCGUGUAGGCGGGACUGCAAGUCAGGCGUGAAAACCAGAGGCUCAACCUCUGGCCUGCGUUUGAAACUGUGGUUCUUGAGUACUGGAGAGGUUGACGGAAUUCCUAGUGUAGCGGUGAAAUGCGUAGAUAUUAGGAGGAACACCAGUGGCGAAGGCGGUCAACUGGACAGCAACUGACGCUGAGGCGCGAAAGCGUGGGGAGCAAACAGG